AUGCUCCGCGUCUCUCACCCCCCUCUCUCUUCUCUGAAUCCCCUAGUGGCGAGAUGUGGCCAUGGCUGGUGGGUAGCGGGAAGCGCCGGCGGCGGGGAAAGGGGAGAUCUGGUGGCUGGGAACCGCGAGAUCUCUAGUUGUGGGGAUUGGACAGAGCUCUGGCUAAUUAGGAUCACGAGAAGGCAAGCUUCUCUGUUCUUUCUGUAUAUGCGACAUGAUGCUCUUCUCUGUCUCGUUUCUUUUUGCAGCUCGGACGGAGACACUCGUAGCAUCGUGCCAGUGAAGAAUCAAUGUUGCUCUUCUUUCUGUUGA
rnacentral:rRNA from 1 species